UUAUGUCGACGCUGGCGGCGUGCCUAUUACAUGCAAGUCGAGCGGACGGAUGGGAGCUUGCUCCCUGAAGUCAGCGGCGGACGGGUGAGUAACACGUGGGCAACCUGCCUGUAAGACUGGGAUAACUCCGGGAAACCGGGGCUAAUACCGGAUAACUCUUUUCCUCACAUGAGGAAAAGCUGAAAGAUGGUUUCGGCUAUCACUUACAGAUGGGCCCGCGGCGCAUUAGCUAGUUGGUGAGGUAACGGCUCACCAAGGCCACGAUGCGUAGCCGACCUGAGAGGGUGAUCGGCCACACUGGGACUGAGACACGGCCCAGACUCCUACGGGAGGCAGCAGUAGGGAAUCUUCCGCAAUGGACGAAAGUCUGACGGAGCAACGCCGCGUGAGUGAUGAAGGUUUUCGGAUCGUAAAACUCUGUUGUCAGGGAAGAACAAGUACCGGAGUAACUGCCGGUACCUUGACGGUACCUGACCAGAAAGCCACGGCUAACUACGUGCCAGCAGCCGCGGUAAUACGUAGGUGGCAAGCGUUGUCCGGAAUUAUUGGGCGUAAAGCGCGCGCAGGCGGUUCCUUAAUCUGAUGUGAAAGCCCCCGGCUCACCGGGGAGGGUCUUG
rnacentral:rRNA from 2 species